rnacentral:rRNA from 1 species
UACGGAGGGGGCUAGCGUUGUUCGGAAUUACUGGGCGUAAAGCGCACGUAGGCGGCUUUGUAAGUUAGAGGUGAAAGCCCGGGGCUCAACCCCGGAAUAGCCUUUAAGACUGCAUUGCUUGAACGUCGGAGAGGUGAGUGGAAUUCCGAGUGUAGAGGUGAAAUUCGUAGAUAUUCGGAAGAACACCAGUGGCGAAGGCGGCUCACUGGACGACUGUUGACGCUGAGGUGCGAAAGCGUGGGGAGCAAACAGG